rnacentral:rRNA from 1 species
CACGUAGGGUGCGAGCGUUGUCCGGAAUUAUUGGGCGUAAAGAGCUCGUAGGCGGUUUGUCGCGUCUGCUGUGAAAACUCGGGGCUUAACUCCGGGCCUGCAGUGGGUACGGGCAGACUAGAGUGCGGUAGGGGAGACUGGAAUUCCUGGUGUAGCGGUGAAAUGCGCAGAUAUCAGGAGGAACACCGGUGGCGAAGGCGGCUUUCUGGACAGACACCGACGCUGAGGCACGAAAGCUAGGGGAGCAAACAGG